UACGUAGGGGGCUAGCGUUGUCCGGAUUUAUUGGGCGUAAAGAGCGUGUAGGCGGCUUGAUAGGUCUGCUGUGAAAACUCGGGGCUCAACCCCGAGACGUCGGUGGAAACCAUCUGGCUAGAGUCCGGAAGAGGAGAGUGGAAUUCCCGGUGUAGCGGUGAAAUGCGCAGAUAUCGGGAAGAAUAUCCGUGGCGAGGGCGGCUCUCUGGGACGGUACUGACGCUGAGACGCGAAAGCGUGGGGAGCGAACAGG
rnacentral:misc_RNA from 1 species